rnacentral:misc_RNA from 1 species
ACACACUGCGUGUCUCGACCACGUUAAAAUCCACGUAGUCACGUGUGUCCGCCGAACGAGAUGAUUGAAGAAACACAACGGGGAUACACGAUUUCUUGGACGAUUUACACGCGGUCAGAGGUUCGAUUCACGAAACACGCAUCCGCGUCCUUUCUUCAUCCGUGUCUCGAACAAGUAAAAUGGACAGACACUGAUCGGUGAGAACUGGGUGUACGGAGACGAAAGGCCGGUACGCUCGAACGUGUGCUACUGGUGCGACGAGUAGCUUUUGGAACGCAUCACGACCUCCUCCGCUAUAAAUAAAACGGUGGCCGCCACACCGAAAACUCUGCCAGCCAGCCGGAGAGUGCUCGAGCCGUCGUAAUUUUCCUCGUUCAACGAAGGAACAUGGGGAAGAGGAAUACCAGCCGGUUAGAGAAACCUGGCGACCUAGAGGGGAAGAAGAAAGAAUUCGUUGUGCAACCGAUCCACCAAUAAUCCAAUCCGAAGCACGAGCAAUGAUUUAUCGGUCGACGCAAGGAGCAAACGGAAGUUCAGUGAAUCGUGACGGCGGAUUUAUCGUACGAGUUCUAUCUUUGAGCCUGGCGAACGAGGAAACGAUCGC